GCUAGUUGGUGAUCCUCUCCUUAGAGUCAAGUGGCUUUCAGCUCCUCUCAAAUAUAUUUUUCAUCGACAACAACAACAACAACCCAGUAUAAUCCUACUUAGUAGGGUCUGGGGAGGGUAGUGUGUACGCAGACCUUACCCCUACCCUUGGGUAGAGAGGCUGUUUCCAAAUAGACCCCCGGCAUCCUUCCCUCCAAGAACUUCCCACCUUGCUCUUGGCCUCUUGGGGAGACUCGAACUCACAACCUCUCGGUUGGAAGUGGGGGUUGCUUACCAUCAGAGCAACCCCUCUUGUCUUAUUUUUUCAUCGACAGGUAGGGUGAAUUCUAAGGUUCCUUAUUCCGGUCGUAAAGUGGAAGAAGCAUCGACAAAAAAAAAAGAGUAGCCUCCCUAGAACCUGGCAAAGUCAUUAUCAAUGAAUUCCCGAGCAAUUCUCAACCAGCCGAAGAAGACCCUGGCCAAUCCACGUGGCGCUUGACGAACAUCAGCGACGGAGACAUCGUAAAUUGGUCCGCGGGCAUCGCGAUAAGUCCUCUGUCCUGUCCUACUACAGGUGCUGCGACAACCUUGGACUAAAAAACAUUCACUAAUGCAUACUCAGCAAUCAGCAUCAUAUUCACUCAGUCUAAUCAGCGGAGAGCAAGGACUGAAACAUAAAGAGAACUCCUUCCCCAGCAAUGAUGCUAAUGGUUAAUAAACAGAUAGGUGGAUAUCAUUCAAGCCCUCUUAACAAUCUCACUAGACACUUUUUGCUAAGCUCGAACCAAUUAUCAGACUAGUGAACUUAGGUUGAAAUCAAACACCAAAUAGUGCAGGACUGCCUACAUGUAAAAGAAAUUAACGAUUUGAAGAUUAGUUAAGAAUUAGAUCUUAAUGUGACUCAACACUAUCAGAUAAAGAAUGUCCAAUGUGUCCCUUGGGAAAAAGAAACACCAUUUGAGUGACCUCAGUGUCAAGAAAGUACUCUAGCUUACUUAAACCCUUGGUUCGAAAAUGACUGGCCAGCUGAUUCUUCAAUUGGGUGAUUUUCUCAUAGUGAUUACAUGUGACUAAGUUAUCAAAUAUAUGCCCAUGAGUUAUGACAAUAGAAAACUGAGUGGUCGCUUCAGCAUUUUCAUGCCAAUCAGAAUCUGAUCCUGACGUGUUCGAUACAGUAAUUAAUAUCAAGAAGCGGUUGCUCGAAGGACAGUACCACAAUUUUCCAGUUUUUCUUUUUUUAUCAAGAGAAUAAAUUUCAUUCAUUCAGCAUCCAGAAGAUGCAAAAAGAUUACAAAAAAGACAGCUUCUGUACAAUGUCAGAUGACUCCUAGGAAAUCUUACAAAAUCCAAAAGAGUGUCAAUACUAUCUGAGAAAGCAGUAAUAUAGCACGCAACAGGAAGAAGAAAGGUUUGAUCCGCUCGGUUUAGAUAAUUCCCAUGGGCCAAUAAGACGGUGUUUAGGAAGGCAGCCAACUAUCUUUCAGUAGGGAUUAUCAUUUCCAGUCUGGCUCUCGAAGACUCAAUAUCAGAGGAAGGUUUUUUGCAAAUUAGUCCCGCAUUAGUAUCUGAAUUAGUCGAAUAAAAUUCUAAUAUAAUAGAGUAAGAUUCGAGGCUCACUAUCAUAGGCGGAUAUAAAGUCCUAUCUUGUAGCUACAGAUGAAAUCCAAUCCUGCAGCAGCUAGUUGCUCGGCCUUAGUCUUGGGCUGAUCUCAGACUUCAAUCAACCCCUUCGUACUCCGAUCGGGAUUUGUUGAUCGGAAAGCUCAGGCAGGAGUAGGACAUUCCAUACAAACCUUUCUGAUCCGCUAGUUGGUGAUCCUCUCCUUAGAGUCAAGUGGCUUUCAGCUCCUCUCAAAUAUAUUUUUUCAUCGACAACAACAACAACAACCCAGUAUAAUCCUACUUAGUAGGGUCUGGGGAGGGUAGUGUGUACGCAGACCUUACCCCUACCCUUGGGUAGAGAGGCUGUUUCCAAAUAGACCCCCGGCAUCCUUCCCUCCAAGAACUUCCCACCUUGCUCUUGGCCUCUUGGGGAGACUCGAACUCACAACCUCUCGGUUGGAAGUGGGGGUUGCUUACCAUCAGAGCAACCCCUCUUGUCUUAUGUUUUCAUCGACAGGUAGGGUGAAUUCUAAGGUUCCUUAUUCCGGUCGUAAAGUGGAAGAAG
rnacentral:lncRNA from 1 species